rnacentral:rRNA from 1 species
CCCUUAGAUGUUCUGGGCGGCCCACGCACUACAUUGGCACUCUCAAUAAGUUCCUAGAUCUAAAACUUUGGGGUAUUCUAUUAAGUGGUGUCGUGACUGGGAUUAACCCUUGCAAUUAUUGGUUACGAACGAGGAAUUCCUUGUAAUCGCGGUUUAUCAGCCCGCGUUGAAUGCGUCCCUGCCCUUUGUACACACCGCCCGUCGCUCCUACCGAUGAAUCGUCCGGUGAAGUUCAUGGAGUGGUGGUUGUUCCAGCUGCUGUCGAAGUGAAAUGGACCUCACGAUUUAGAGGAAGGAGAAGUCGUAACA